rnacentral:rRNA from 1 species
GACUNGCGCUAUUGAUGAGCCNCGUCGAUUAGCUAGUUGGUGGGGUAAAGGCCNACCAAGGCNACGAUCCGUAGCUGGUCUGAGAGGAUGAUCAGCCACACUGGGACUGAGACACGGCCCAGACUCCUACGGGAGGCAGCAGUGGGGAAUAUUGCGCAAUGGGGGAAACCCUGANGCAGCCAUGCCGCGUGUGUGAAGAAGGCCUUAGGGUUGUAAAGCACUUUCAAUGGGGAGAAAAGUCUUACGGUUAAUAACUGUGAGAGUUGAUGUUACCUAUAGAAGAAG